UACGGAGGGAGCUAGCGUUGUUCGGAUAUACUGGGCGUAAAGCGCACGUAGGCGGCGCCGUAAGUCAGGGGUGAAAUCCCGGAGCUCAACUCCGGAACUGCCCUUGAAACUGCAGUGCUAGAAUCUUGGAGAGGCGAGUGGAAUUCCGGGUGUAGAGGUGAAAUUCGUAGAUAUUCGGAAGAACACCAGUGGCGAAGGCGACUCGCUGGACAAGUAUUGACGCUGAGGUGCGAAAGCGUGGGGAGCAAACAGG
rnacentral:rRNA from 1 species